UGAGUAACCUGCCCUUCACAUCGGAAUAACCAUUGGAAACGAUGGCUAAUACCGAAUAUGACCUCGGAUCGCAUGAUCUGAAGUGGAAAGCUCCGGCGGUGAAGGAUGAGCUCGCGGCCUAUCAGCUUGUUGGUGAGGUAAUGGCUCACCAAGGCGACGACGGGUAGCUGGUCUGAGAGGAUGGCCAGCCACAUUGGGAUUGAGACACGGCAGA
rnacentral:rRNA from 1 species